AUGGCACCAAUUACUGCGUGUUUGAAGAAAGGGAAGUUCCAAUGGACAGAAGCAACUGAAGCUAGUUUCAAUGAGAUUAAACAAAAGCUAUCACAAGCUCCUGUCUUGAUGCUACCUGAUUUCAACAAGACUUUUGAGUUGGAGUGUGAUGCAAGUGGAGUAGGCAUUGGAGCUGUCCUAUCUCAAGAAAGGAAGCCCAUUGCUUUCUUUAGUGAAGCUAGACAGAAAUGGAGUACCUAUCAGCAAGAAUUAUAUGCUGUUUUCAGAGUGUUGAAAAUUUGGGAAGUCUAUUUGCUGCCUAAAGAGUUCAUUGUUUAUAGCAACCAUCAAUCCUUGAAGCAUUUUAGAAAUCAAAAGCAUGUUGACCGCAUGCUAGCAAGGUGGUCUGCAUAUCUGGAGAGGUUUAACUAUCUCAUCGUGCAUAAAUCUGAAAUAACUAACAUGGUGAUUGAUGCUUUGAGUCAUCGUGCAUGCCUCUUGACUUCUUUUGAAGCUGAACUUCUGGGCAUGAAUCAAAUAAAGGAGUUGUAUGAGGGUGACGAAGACUUUGGCCAUGUUUGGGUAAAGCAUGCAAGGGGCCAACCAUUAGGUGAUGAUUAUUUGAUGCAAGAUGGAUAUCUCUUCAAAAAUGAUCGUUUGUGUAUUCCAAGAAGUUCUCUACGUGACAAGCUGGUUAGAGAGUUCCAUUCAAGUAAUCUUAGUGGUCAUGUUGGACGGGACAAGACUGUCGCUAGCUUGGAAGCUCGCUACUUUUGGCCACAACUAAAGAGAGAUUCUGGAAAGUUUGUUCAACGAUGCCCUAUAUGUCAAACCUAUAAAGGCCAAGUCCAGAACGCAGGGUUAUACAUGCCUUUGCCUGUUCCUGUCGCUCCAUGGGAGGACAUCUCUAUGGACUUCGUCUUGGGCUUGCCAAGAACAAGACGAGAGAGUGAUGCUGUGUUUGUGGUCGUGGACAGAUUCUCUAAGAUGGCUCAUUUCAUUCCAUGCCGUAAGACAACGGAUGCUCGUCAUGUGGCAAACCUAUUCUUUCGAGAAGUGGUCAGACUUCAUGGAGUUCCAAGGUCCAUCGUCUCAGAUCAUGAUAGCAAGUUUCUUGCUGCAUUUUGGCUCACUUUGUGGAAGCAAUUCAACACUGAAUUGGAAUUUUCUAGCACUGCUCAUCCACAAACACAAACGGAAGUGGUGAACAAGUUUUUGGGUAAUCUGAUCCGUUGCAUUUGUGGAGAAAGAAAGGGGCAAUGGGAUUUGGCUUUAUCUCUUGCAGAGUUCUCCUACAAUAACUCCAAGCAUAGAUCCACAGGAAGGAGCCCUUUUUCCAUUGUCUACACUAAAGUUCGAACACAUGUGAUGGACCUGGUGAAGCUGCCAUCAAGGGGAGACUCAAAAUCAGCAUUGUCCUUUGCUGAUAAUUACCCCGAGUUAUUUGAAGAGAUUCGCGGCGCUUUGGAAGCACAAAAUCAGAAAUAUAAACAACUUGCUGAUUGCAAAAAGAGGCCAAAAUCAUUCCAAGUCGGUGAUAAGGUGAUGGUCUACCUCCGAAAAGAGAGGCUGCCUUUAGGUGUUAAAGGGAAACUUAGGCAGCGAAGGUAUGGGCCCUUCUCUAUCGUGAGGAAGAUAAAUGAUAAUGCUUAUGUGAUAGAUCUUCCAAGUGACAUGGGUAUCUCCAACACUUUCAGGGCUCCUUUGAUUCAAAGGAUUUGCAUAGGAAUUCUGAAGGAUUGGAAUCCUUAG
rnacentral:rRNA from 1 species